AGAGUUUGAUCCUGGCUCAGGACGAACGCUGGCGGCGUGCUUAACACAUGCAAGUCACGGGGGCCCGCAAGGGUAACCGGCGAACGGGUGCGUAACACGUGAGCAAUCUGCCGUCCACUGGGGGAUAGCCGGCCCAACGGCCGGGUAAUACCGCAUACGCUUGCCGGGUGGCAUCACUUGGCAAGGAAACCUCCGGGGGUGGACGAGGAGCUCGCGGCCUAUCAGCUAGUUGGUGGGGUCACGGCCCACCAAGGCGAUGACGGGUAGCUGGUCUGAGAGGAUGGCCAGCCACAUUGGGACUGAGAUACGGCCCAGACUCCUACGGGAGGCAGCAGUGGGGAAUAUUGCGCAAUGGCCGCAAGGCUGACGCAGCGACGCCGCGUGGGGGAUGAAGCAUUUCGGUGUGUAAACCCCUGUUGCCCGGGACGAACCUCCCCUUUCGAGGGGACUGACGGUACCGGGUGAGGAAGCACCGGCUAACUCCGUGCCAGCAGCCGCGGUAAUACGGAGGGUGCGAGCGUUGUCCGGAAUCACUGGGCGUAAAGGGCGCGUAGGCGGUGACUUAAGCGUGUGGUGAAAGCCCGGGGCUCAACCCCGGGUCGGCCGUGCGAACUGGGUCACUCGAGCACUGUAGAGGCAGGUGGAAUUCCGGGUGUAGCGGUGGAAUGCGUAGAGAUCCGGAAGAACACCAGUGGCGAAGGCGGCCUGCUGGGCAGUAGCUGACGCUGAGGCGCGACAGCGUGGGGAGCAAACAGGAUUAGAUACCCUGGUAGUCCACGCCGUAAACGAUGGGCACUAGG
rnacentral:rRNA from 1 species